rnacentral:lncRNA from 1 species
AAUUACAAUAAAUAUUUUUAUUAUGUAUCAUAAAUUUACAAUUUCAUCUAAUUAGAGUUUUUAAAACCAAAUCAAAUUACAAACUAAGAAUAAAGCCAAAAAUAAAUUACAAUAAAAAUUAAAUCACAUCAAGCCAUGCUAUGUUGACUUUGUUCACUGUCAAACCAUGCUAUGUUGAUGUUGACUGCCAUUGAUGCACAAGUCAUGCUUAUUGAUACAUCUGUUCCUGUUUUAACUAAAUAGAGAAAUAAAAAGAUAACUUUUAUAAAUCAGCCAUUGUACACAUUAUAGUUAACAAAGAGACAAAUUUUCGAGUUUAAAAAAAAAGAAACUAAAAGACAAAUAAAAGCUCAGCAAAUCAACAGAUCAAAACAAAUAAGCUAAAACUAUGAAGGCAUCAGAGAUGCAGAAAAAUGCAGAUGAUGAGCAAAGAAAACGAAACAUCAAACAAAGAACUAGAAAGCUCAAACUCAAACAGAGACACAGCCAAGAAAGCAACUAAUCAGAUAAAAAAAACUCUAUAAAUACAUCUUUUUUUUACAAAGAAGGCAGAGAUUUUUGAGGGGAAGAAACACAUCUAAAGAAGAGAGUUGAGUUUUAAAAAAAAAAAAAGAAGAAGGGAAAAGAUAAAUUUUUUAAAGAGAGAUUCUGAAAUAAAAAUAGUUGAACGUAGAAGGAACAACAACUCAUCUCCACCAUUAAAAUCAUAUAUAUUUAGAAAUAUAAAAAAUAGAAAAGGAGAGAAACAGAAGUCACCUUCACUUCCGCCGAUAACCGUCGCUAACCACCAUCAACCGCGCACUGCUACCGCCUUCUUCUUUUCGGUGUGUAUCACUCUCAUUUUUGUUGUUCUAUUCUCUAUCCUUGUUUAUAUUUCACUAUUAAAAUGAAAGGAUACAUUAUAUGAAGUUUGUUUUAGGAUUAAAAAUAAAUUUUGUUUAGGUAGAUUUAUUGAAACUGAGUUUUCUUUUUUGUUUUGGAAUGAGGUUUGCUUUGUUGGAUACGCUUACAUUUGUUUUGAAAUGAGGCUAAGGCUGGUUUGUUUUGCUUUUGAAAUGAAUGGGUUUGAAAUCAUGAUUAGCUGGGAAUACAGCUAGCUACUUGGACAUAAAGCUGAUGCGUGGCUAGGAUGUCUUGAAAAAUUAGUUUUGCAGGCAUAGGCAGCUUAGCCUUAAUAAUUAGCUUUCUUUAAUUUAAAGUUGAAAGCAUUUUACAAUCAGGCCUAGGCAAAAAUAAUUACUAUUAGUUU